AGAGUUUGAUCCUGGCUCAGGAUGAACGCUGGCGGCGUGCCUAACACAUGCAAGUCGAGCGAUCUCUUCGGAGAGAGCGGCGGACGGGUGAGUAACGCGUGGGUAACCUGCCCUGUACACACGGAUAACAUACCGAAAGGUAUGCUAAUACGGGAUAAUAUAUAAGAGUCGCACGACUUUUAUAUCAAAGAUUUUUCGGUACAGGAUGGACCCGCGUCUGAUUAGCUUGUUGGCGGGGUAACGGCCCACCAAGGCGACGAUCAGUAGCCGACCUGAGAGGGUGAUCGGCCACAUUGGAACUGAGACACGGUCCAAACUCCUACGGGAGGCAGCAGUGGGGAAUAUUGCACAAUGGGCGCAAGCCUGAUGCAGCAACGCCGCGUGAGCGAUGAAGGCCUUCGGGUCGUAAAGCUCUGUCCUCAAGGAAGAUAAUGACGGUACUUGAGGAGGAAGCCCCGGCUAACUACGUGCCAGCAGCCGCGGUAAUACGUAGGGGGCUAGCGUUAUCCGGAUUUACUGGGCGUAAAGGGUGCGUAGGCGGUCUUUCAAGUCAGGAGUUAAAGGCUACGGCUCAACCGUAGUAAGCUCCUGAUACUGUCUGACUUGAGUGCAGGAGAGGAAAGCGGAAUUCCCAGUGUAGCGGUGAAAUGCGUAGAUAUUGGGAGGAACACCAGUAGCGAAGGCGGCUUUCUGGACUGUAACUGACGCUGAGGCACGAAAGCGUGGGGAGCAAACAGGAUUAGAUACCCUGGUAGUCCACGCUGUAAACGAUGAGUACUAGGUGUCGGAGGUUACCCCCUUCGGUGCCGCAGCUAAC
rnacentral:rRNA from 1 species